rnacentral:misc_RNA from 1 species
AACGCACAUUGCGCCCCUUGGUAUUCCARGGGGCAUGCCUGUUCGAGCGUCAUUUGUACCUUCAAGCUUUGCUUGGUGUUGGGCGUUACUUUGUCUCUCCUUGCGGGGGGAGACUCGCCUUAAAACGAUUGGCAGCCGGCCUACUGGUUUCGGAGCGCAGCACAUUUUUUGCGCUUUGUACCGGGAGAAAAGGACGGUACUCCAUCAAGACGUACCAAUUUCCACUUUUGACCUCGGAUCAGGUAGGGAUACCCGCUGAACUUAA